rnacentral:rRNA from 1 species
UACGUAGGGACCAAGCGUUGUUCGGAUUUACUGGGCGUAAAGGGCGCGUAGGCGGGAUGGCAAGUCAGUCGUGAAAUCUCUCGGCUCAACCGAGAAACGUCGGCUGAUACUGCCGUUCUUGAGGGAUGCAGAGGAGACUGGAAUUCCCGGUGUAGCGGUGAAAUGUGUAGAGAUCGGGAGGAACACCGGUGGCGAAGGCGGGUCUCUGGGCAUUUCCUGACGCUGAGGCGCGAAAGCGUGGGGAGCAAACGGG